GACGAACGCUGGCGGCGUGCUUAACACAUGCAAGUCGAGCGGUAAGGCCCUUUCGGGGGUACACGAGCGGCGAACGGGUGAGUAACACGUGGGUGACCUGCCCUCAGCUCUGGGAUAAGCCUGGGAAACCGGGUCUAAUACUGGAUAUGACUCCAUGACGCAUGUUGUGGGGUGGAAAGCCUUGUGCGGCUGAGGAUGGGCCCGCGGCCUAUCAGCUUGUUGGUGGGGUGANGGCCUACCAAGGCGACGACGGGUAGCCGGCCUGAGAGGGCGACCGGCCACACUGGGACUGAGACACGGCCCAGACUCCUACGGGAGGCAGCAGUGGGGAAUCUUGCGCGAUGGGCGAAAGCCUGACGCAGCGACGCCGCGUGAGGGAUGACGGCCUGGUU
rnacentral:rRNA from 1 species